rnacentral:SRP_RNA from 1 species
GGUCAAGUCCUGUGCAACGGAACAGUGCCCAACCCCGCCAGAUCCGGAAGGAAGCAACGGUCAGCAUCUGCGUUCGUGUGAUACAGGGGAGCUUGACCUCU